UUUUUUUUUUUUUUUUUUUGGUUCUUUUUUUCGGAGCUGGGGACCGAACCCAGGGCCUUGCGCUUCCUAGGUAAGCGCUCUACCACUGAGCUAAAUCCCCAUCCCUUUUCCUUCCCUUCUUUGUUAUUGUGAGGCAAGAUCUCAUGUAACCCAGGCUGGCCUCAAACUUAGUAUGUAGCCCAGUUAACUUCGAGCCCCUGAGCUUUAGCUUCUCAGAGCUGGAAUUAGAGCUAUAUGCUACCGCGGGCUGGCUCACAAUGGUUAAAAAUGAAACCACAGUGGGACUUCAGAAGGACAGAUAGGUCUAAAGAGAAUGAUUGUAAAGAUGAGAGGAAACUAAGCCAGGAGAGGAGCAGUGCUGGGGUGAGUCAUUAAAGACAACGUUGUGAUUCAAGGUAUCCAGGCAUAUUCUAAGUCUCUCUGAAAGUGUAGGUCUAGGAUAAAUAUCCUAAACUGAGCUUGGUCUGACAGGAUGUCCCCGGAAUAAGAGAAACCUGGUAGAAUUAUAUCCUAGAACUUCGAAGAUGAGAGAAAGAAUCUUGGCUACCCGUUAAGGACUGGUGGUGUUCAGGGCUAGGUUUUACCUGGCUCUCACUGGAAUAGGAAGCAGACAUAUCUCAGAGUGACAGGUGUAUGGUCUUACUGACAGACAGGUGAACCGGUGGUGACAGGCCCAUAGUGGCUGACUGCAAUUGGAGACAUGAGGACUAGAUCAAGUCUGGCCCAAGCAGCUUCAAGGGGCCUUUAUCUCUAGAUGCAGUCCCCCAAGAUGAUAUAAGGGGCAAUCCCAAGAGGAUGUCAGCCCCAUGGGGUUCUGCUCGUCCUACUAGCCAGGGAUUGUCCUGCUCUAGAGUGACAUGUUGAAUCUAGCAAGAGGUCUGCCUGAAGCAAGGACCUACUGUAAAGGGCUUUGAGGGACUGGGUGUGGUGGAGGAUUUUAAAAGUUCAGUUGGAAGAAGCGUGGGCCAAGUCUUGAAUCAAAUGAGAAACCUCUCAAGGAUUAGAUUAAUCUUCUCCAUCUUUCCAGAGAACAGAAGGUGCUGGGCCGCAUGGGGAUAAUACUUCAUUAAAGUGUUUCACAUUCUCUGUGUGGCACCGGAAGUUAAGCCAGACUGGAUAUUGAGAGUGAGGAAAGCCUGUAAUCCUAGCACUGCAGAGGCAGAGGCAGGAGGAUCACUACAAAUUGGAGGAGACUGCCCUGCCUCAGAAAAUUCAAAGAGGGUACUGGGGAGAGGAAGUACAGAAGAAGGAAGUAAAAGAAAGGUGGGUGCGGGGACAGAGUGAGGGAGGAGAAAUCAAGCAAAAACAGCCAGGCCAUUCUCACACAGUUGGGACUGAGGGAGCUCAAAACAAGAAAUCAUGUAUUUUCUGAGGACAGUGGUUAUAUCUCAGACCCACUCUGUGUUACUGAUGCUUCUAUCUAUCUGAUUCAGGUAUUUUCUAGAGCUAUUAGACGUUUGAGACAUUUACACGUGAUAUGUGUUAAAUUUACUCGCCAGUCUUCCUCCAGCAGGGUUCCCUCAUGCUGAAUAGGCCACAGAAGGCUUGAGGGUCUGGGAUCCUCAGGUUGACAACAUGAAGGACCAACUUUAGAAUCAGACCACAAGGUGGGGCUAGAGGGACGGCUCAGCGGUUAAGAGCAUUUGCUGCUCAGGCAGAGGACCCAGCUUUGGUUUCUAGCAUCCAUGAUCCAGAAGGUGGCUCACAACCAUCAGUUACUCCUGUUCCCGGGGGAGGGGAGGAUUCUAUCCCCCUACCUCUGACCUCUCAGGCAUCAUCAGACACGCAUACGAUAUGCAUACAUACAUAAAGGCAAAAUAGUCAUACACAAAAAAUGAACACACAUUAAGAGGGACAGAAGGGUUGGCAAGAUGAUCCAAUGGUAAAAGCGCUUUGUCACCAAGCCGGAUGACCUGACUUCCGUCCCCCGGUUCCACAAGGUUAAGGAGAGAACAGAGUCUUAGGAGUUGCGUGUCAUAGGCACAUGGGAUAAAAAAAAAGAGAGAAAGGGGCUGGAGAGAUGGCUCAGCGGUUAAGAGCACCCAACUGCUCUUCCAGAGGUCAUGAGUUCAAUUCCCAGCAACCACAUGGUGGCUCACAACUAUCUAUAAAGAGAUCAGAUGCCCUCUUCUGAUGUAUCUGAAGAUAGCUACAGUGUACUUAUAUAUAAUAAAUGAAUAAAUCUUUGAAAAAAAAGAGAGAAAAAGGAAGGAAGGAAGGAAGGAAAGAAAGAACGAACGAAAGAACUAGCCAGGCAGUGGUGAUGUGCACCUUUAAUCUCAGCUCUCAGGAGGCAGAGACAGGCAGAUCACUGAGUUUGAGAGCAGUCUGGUCCACACAGAGAAAUCUUGUCUCAAAAAACAAAAACAAAAUAUCAAAAGAAAAGAAAGAAAGAGACCACAGGUCUGGGAGAUUGAUAGGCGUGUAAAGAGGAAUUCAAUUAGAAGUUGGAGGGCCCGGGUCCCCAAAUUCAUGGCUUGAUGAAACUGUUAAGGCUUUCUUCUCACUGGGGAGAUUCCAGGAGCAGCAGGUUGCUGGGCUUUGUUUAUCCAUCCCUCUGGGGUGGCUUUGAAACCCUGAUAUAAAGCCCAAGAGAGUCCUGGGGAGUGGGACGUGUUGUAGAGGAAGGAUUGGGAACUAAGGCAGCUUGUAAUGGGAGUCAAACAGCCUGUCCAGCCUGCUGAUUUGCUGGGCGCUCCACUGAGAAGUGUCAGAAUAGUCUUCUUGGUGGCUUUGCAGUGUGUAAGAGCUCCCCGAGUUGGAAUCCAGAUGGCAUCUAGUAAGGUUGGAAUCUCAGGGGCAUAUUUAAGAGGGUAUUAUGGGCAAUGAAGAACUCCCCUCUCUCCAGGUGGCUGCAUGGGCAGAAGCAUGCCUAAAUGCUGUCUCAUUCGUGCCCCUAGCUGGAGAGCUCUAGUGAGAGCAAUGACUUCUCUCUGGGGGCUGAUAUACCAUUACCCACAAAGCACCCAUGUUUUAUCACCUUUGUGAAAUUCACUGUUGUAUUCUCAAAAAGUCUCUGUCCUACCUGCAUAAAUCCACUUCCGUGUGUGAAUGAAGUAGCCUCGGAAAGAGGAUCAUCCCGUAGGGCUCAUCUAUUACUGCAGGUGACAUGGAGACUCUCCACACAGAAAAGCUGCAGAGUCCUCAGGAUUAGCAUCUGGUGAGCUCCGGGGCUUGUUUUAUUUUAUUUUGUUUUUUGCUCUUUUGAGACAGGGUUUCUCUGUGUAGGCCUGGCUAUCCUGAAACUCUCUCUGUAGACCAGGCUGGCCUCAAACUCAGAAAUCCCCCUGCCUCUGCCUCCCGAGUGCUGGGACUAAAGUCUGGUACCGCCACCACCUGGUGAGCUCCGAGGUUUGUAAAAGAAGAGCUGCACCCUGCUCUCUAAGAGGAAGUCCAUCAUGCUGAGACUCUGGGGGCCCUGUGGAAGCCAUCUGACUCUUGAGAGAUUCAACUGUGUGAGGUCGUCAGAUAUGAGCCGGCCUUCCCUCAUACGAGAAAAAGGACAUUAUUGCUUCCAAGGGUUUCGCUCUUUGGUGACUGGACUUGACCCCAGAAGAGUCUCAGAAGCUUUGGACUCUGCCAGCAGAAAUAUCAGCUGAUCAAUAACCGGAAAGAAUUCUUUGACCUGAGGCCGUUAGUGCCUGCAGACUGAACUGGGUGGGCACUAGAUGGCGCUCUAGAAUUUCCUGAGACAGAAGAGCGGAUUAGUGUGACCAUAAACUGAAUCCGUUAUCUCUUUUCUGGCUUUCAGGGUCUCUGCUUAGUUAUUAAAAAAAACCUUGAAAGUGUGGAGUGUUGGUGGCCCACGCCUUUAAUCCCAUCACUCGGGAGGCAGAGGCGGUUGGGGCUCUGUGAGCUAGGGCUGUACAGAGAAACCCUGUUUCAACAAAACAAAUACCUCUAAAGCUGUCUUAAUAAAGUACGGAAGGGAUUUUAGGGUUCUUGAUCUAGCUAUUUGUCUGAGGUAGGAUCUCACUAUGUAGCUCUACUGGCCGGGAAUUCACAGAGAUCCACCUACCUCUGCCUCUUGAAUGCUGGGAUUGAAGAUAUGCACCGCUGUACUAUACCUGGCCCAAUCUGUCCUUUUGUUUGUUUUUGUUUGUUUUCCGGAGCUGAGGACCGAACCCAGGGCCUUGGGCUUGCUAGGCAAGCGCUCUACCACUGAGCUAAAUCCCCAACCCUGUUUAUUUGUUUUUUGAGAUAAGGUUUCUCUGUGUAAUCCAGGAUGUCCUGGAACUCACUCUGUAGACCAGGCUGGCCUCAAACUCACAAAGAUCUGCCUGCCUCUGCUUCCUGAAUGCUGGGGUUAAAGGUGUGUGCCCGUCACCGCCACAGUCACCACCACCCUCUGGUUUUGAUUUUUUUUUUUAUUUUUUAUUAUUAUUUUGUUUUUUGGUUCUUUUUUUCGGAGCUGGGGACCGAACCCAGGGCCUUGCGCUUCCUAGGUAAGCGCUCUACCACUGAGCUAAAUCCCCAGCCCCUUGAUUUUUUUUAUUUUUAUUUUUUAUUUUUUUAAAGUUUUUUUUUAAAGAUUUAUUUAUUCAUUUAUUAUAUAUGAGUACCCUGUAGCUGUCUUCAGAUACACCAGAAGAGGGCAUCGGAUCUCUUUACAGAUGGUUGUGAGCCACCAUGUGGUUGCUGGGAAUUGAACUCAGGACCUGGAAGAGCAGACAGUGCUCUUAACCACUGAGCCAUCUCUCCAGCCCAAUUUUAAAAAAAAAAAAAAUUUAUUUGUUAUGUUUACAGCAUUCUGCCUGCAUGUAUGCCUGUAGGCCAGAGAGGGCACCAGAUCUUAUUACAGAUGGUUGUGAGCCACCAUGUGGUUGCUGGGAAUUGAACUCAGGACCUCUGGAAGAGCAGACAGUGCUCUUAACCACUGAACCAUCUCUCCAGCCCUCCGUUUUUGAUUUUUAAAAAUUUGAUUUUGUAUGUAUAUGCCCUUUGUGUAUGCCUGGUACCCACAGAAGCCAGAAGCUGAGUGACAAACCACCAAGAACUGGAGUCACUAUGCCAGCAUGAUGUAGAUUUGGGGGAAGGAAGCUGCCCUGGGGAGGCAGAGGGAGGUAUUUUUCUCCUCUGGUUCAAGUGAGUCAGAUUUUGUGGUUCUCUUGGGAUGGGAACAGGGAUAAGCGGGGAGUGGAUAUGUCUUGAUAAAGAUAUUUUUAUUAUA